ensembl:lncRNA
UUGUGUGUGUGUGUGUGUGUGUGUGUGUGUGUGUGUGUGUGUGUGUGUGUGUGUGUGUGUGUGUGUGUGUGUGUGUGUGUGUGUGUGUGUGUGUGUGUGUGUGUGUGUGUGUGUGUGUGUGUGUGUGUGUGUGUGUGUGUGUGUGUGAGAGAGAGUGAGGCAGAGAGAGAGAGAACGCGCGCUGAGCCAAGUGACGUGAGAAAACGGCAUAUCGAGUCAUAUCAUGAUUUUUAAACGUUUUAAACGUUAAUGUUGUUUAUUGCAUAGUGGAACUAUAGAGUUUACUGCCAGAAAUAUGUCUAGAUGAUGUACAGUGACUUGCAAUUGAAGAGAAACCUACUCCCCUUUCUCCCAGCUGAUACUAGUGAAACGACUCAACCCCAGGAAGGUUGGAGAAGCCGCCUUUGAACCUCCCACAACUGUGAUAGCCCUCGCUCGCACAGCCGUACUCAUUGACUCUCAACCCCGGUGGAUUCACACCAGUAGACUGAAACAGUGCCUGACCAGAACCAGCUCAUCUGAGAAUGGAUGAAAAUUCACAAUCAAGCAGCCCUUAGGGGGCCUCCUCUUGUCUCACCUAAGCACAUACACAUAUAGAUUUUCUUGUAUUAGCCUUGAGAACACACACAAGUAACAAGCAACAACUCAUGCCCUGUCUGAUGGGAGCAUGUGAGGGGUGGGAGCUGUUGAAGCUCAUGGAUCCCUCAUGGGCGUUCCUUGCUGUUUAUGGGAAGAGUGUAUGUAGGUCCAGUUGGGACCUAAGAAGGCAUUGAUAAGUUUACUGUGAACACUCUUCCCUCUCAAUCCCUUGUUAACAUUUUGUAAAGAUUAAAGAAUUAAAUGUAAAGAAUAAUAUUGGCUGUGUUUGCUAGCAAGCAAGCUAAAUCUACACUAGCAGCUGAGAGUAAAGAAUGAAAUUUGCCAUGUUCGCUAGCAAGUGAGCAAAUUGCUACAUGUAAAGAAUGAAAUUAGCCAUGUUUGGAAGCAAGUGAGAUAACGCUAAAUGUUUUGUGUGAACAAUAAAAUUAGCCAUGUUCACUAGCAAGCUUGCGAACACUAUGCUAGCUGCUGCAUGUAAACAAUGAAAUUAGCAAUGUUUGUGAGCUAAAGCUAUGCUAACCACUGCAUGUAAAGAAUAAAAUUAGCUAUGUUCUAUCUAUCUAUCUAUCUAUCUAUCUAAUCAACUCUACAAUGAUUGGCACUCUGUCUUUCAGACUUUAUUUCUAGGAUUAGUAACCCUAACCCCAACUCUAGGCUUUCUAACCCUAACCCUUGCUUUCUCAAGCCAACAUCAAAGUUUGUCAUGACUAACUUUUCCUAUCCAGUUAUUAUUAUGAUUUCUUCUGAAACCCAAAUUUCUAAACACUACUUCUCCCAGAGCUUUCAAGCUACAUGCACAAACUCAGCACAGACAUUCUACCUGCUCUGACUGAAGUUGCUUUGACUUUUCAAAUUAUGGGAAUCACAUAAUUUCCAUUACAGAAGCUCAAAGUGGACAAAAUUCCCACAUUGACUUGCAUUACAAAUUUCUGACUUUUAUAACUUCCACCAGACUCAACACAGUCCUUCAGGCUGUUCAGACUGCUCAUGCUGGUCAUGAAAAAUCCCCAAAACUCCCAUUCAAUUACACAGGUGGAAUGUUCAAACUCCAACUGUCAAAACACAGACACACACACCUGCGUCCAAACAGCCUGAAGCCCCUCCUCUCUCCCUCUCACUCUGUCAAUCUACCUGUAACAGAGACUCUCACUUCAUCCAUCUAUCUAUCUAUCUAUCUAUCUAUCUAUCUAUCUACAGUGGUGCUUGAAAGUUUGUGAACC